rnacentral:misc_RNA from 1 species
AAUUGGCAACCAACAAUCCAAAACUAACACAGUUGUACCAAAUCACCUGAGUAAGAAAGUUAAUAGUCCAAAUUUGUUCAAGUUGAGUGCAAGAACUCGAAUUUGAGCCCAGUAAGAGCCAAAUGAACUGAAAAAAGAAGAAAAAAUGUAAAGUCUGCUGUUAGGAUAAAAACAUAAAGAGAGAACCAAAGCUGAAACACAGAAGGAAAAAUCUUCUUUGCAUCAUUACAGGAAAUA